rnacentral:rRNA from 1 species
UACGUAGGGUGAGCGUUGUCCGGAAUUAUUGGGCGUAAAGAGCUCGUAGGCGGUCUGUCGCGUCGGUCGUGAAAACUUGGGGCUUAACCCUGAGCUUGCGGUCGAUACGGGCAUGACUGGAGUUCGGCAGGGGAGACUGGAAUUCCUGGUGUAGCGGUGAAAUGCGCAGAUAUCAGGAGGAACACCGGUGGCGAAGGCGGGUCUCUGGGACGUUACUGACGCUGAGACGCGAAAGCGUGGGGAGCAAACAGG